rnacentral:rRNA from 1 species
CGAAGGUGGCAAGCGUUACUCGGAAUUACUAGGCGUAAAGGGCAGGUAGGUGGUCUGAUAAGUCUGUUGUGUAAGCUCCCGGCUUAACUGGGAGAGGUCAACAGAUACUGUCAGGCUUGAGUAUAGGAGAGGUUACUGGAAUUCCCGGUGUAGCGGUGAAAUGCGCAGAUAUCGGGAGGAACACCAAUGGCGAAAGCAGGUAACUGGACUAUUACUGACACUCAGCUGCGAAAGCUAGGGGAGCAAACAGGAUUAGAUACCCUGGUAGUCCUAGCUGUAAACGAUGCACAUUAGGCGUGAGGGGUAUCGACCCCCUUCGUGCCGACGCUAACGCAUUAAAUGUGCCGCCUGGGGAUACGGCCGCAAGGUUG